AUACAGAGGGUGCAAGCGUUAAUCGGAAUUACUGGGCGUAAAGCGCGCGUAGGCGGUUUAAUCAGUCGGAUGUGAAAGCCCCGGGCUCAACCUGGGAACUGCAUUCGAUACUGUUAAGCUAGAGUAUGGUAGAGGGAAGUGGAAUUCCAGGUGUAGCGGUGAAAUGCGUAGAUAUCUGGAGGAACAUCAGUGGCGAAGGCGACUUCCUGGACCAAUACUGACGCUGAGGUGCGAAAGCGUGGGGAGCAAACAGGAUUAGAUACCCCUGUAGUCC
rnacentral:rRNA from 1 species